CUGAGGUACCCGAGGGCCUGGACUCAUGGGAGCAUCCCAAAACACUCGUCAGUCCCUUGAGGUGUCUGUUACCCCAGCAAGUGCCAGUCCUCGUGAAGCUGGUUCAGAACAAAGCUGCAGAGCAGGUGUUGGAAGGGUCAGGCCAAGGAAGGAAAGGAAAAGCUGAAGUGCCUGAGGUGCAGGGAAGCACCCGACUUUGCUUAGUGCCACCUGUGUUUCCCCAGUGCAGGCAUCACUGGACGUGAUCCCUCUGGAGGUGCUGCCAGACCAUUGAGUGCUCCAUCCCUGCCCUCCAGACACCCUCUUCCUGGAGGAAAGUCGGCAACUCUGGGUUUAUUCCAUUUUUUCACCCAUGCCAAAGCCUAUUUAAUAUCAGGUUUGCUGUGGGUUUGUUUGGGUUUGGUCCCACAAACGCCUCUGGGGCAGGUCAAUGCAUCUCCCAAGCCACCCCUUGGCUGUGCCUUUGGAGUUUGCAAAAUCCAAGGAGACCUCUGUUGUUCUGCUUGAAUAUCCCUCCCCAUCUCAGUCCCAAAUGGUGGGAAGCACCAGGGAAUAUUGUUGAUAAACAAUAGAUGUCUGGUGGAGACGCUGGUGAUUUUCCUGGUGCAAAAGGCUGCUGCAUCCUCUGUGAUAAUCCCCCUUUUUUUCCUCCUUGUUGGCUUUGUGGUUUUGUGAUUUAUUUGUGGGCUGGCAGUCAUCCACAGCCCUGCAGGAAAUGGAUGUCUGCUCUUGUGUUUGGGGGGGCCAUAUAAACGUGUAAUUUUCCCACUACAUUAAUUACAGACGUUUCUCCCUGGCUGGAGCAGCUCCA